UUUUGACAUCAUUUCAAAAUUUUCAUGUAAAAUUUUAAUAUUUAAUUUUUAAUUUGAAUUUAAAUUAAUAUACUAUAAAGAUAAAGUUAAUAUAUUAAUCUAAUUACGUUUUUUAUACUUACCUGAACCAAACACCGACAAUGGGAAUGAUUUAAUCCGAUUCCGAUUCAGGUGAUGAAUCAAACAGAAUUAGGUAAUGAGUCAUUCCGAUUCCGAUUCCUGCUUAUUUCGAUUCCGAUUCUGAUUCCAAUUCCAACUUCAAACCAAACACGCCCCAAGUGUGUUAAGACUAAAGUAGCUCUAGAAUAAAUGAUCCCUUGAGAAGUGAGGAGUCACAAUUUCAUAUCCCUAUCU
rnacentral:lncRNA from 1 species